rnacentral:rRNA from 1 species
AUUGAACGCUGGCGGCAGGCUUAACACAUGCAAGUCGAGCGGGGUGAUGGUGCUUGCACUAUCACUUAGCGGCGGACGGGUGAGUAAUGCUUAGGAAUCUGCCUAUUAGUGGGGGACAACAUCUCGAAAGGGAUGCUAAUACCGCAUACGUCCUACGGGAGAAAGCAGGGGACCACUUGUGACCUUGCGCUAAUAGAUGAGCCUAAGUCGGAUUAGCUAGUUGGUGGGGUAAAGGCCUACCAAGGCGACGAUCUGUAGCGGGUCUGAGAGGAUGAUCCGCCACACUGGGACUGAGACACGGCCCAGACUCCUACGGGAGGCAGCAGUGGGGAAUAUUGGACAAUGGGGGGAACCCUGAUCCAGCCACGCCGCGUGUGUGAAGAAGGCCUUAUGGUUGUAAAGCACUUUAAGCGAGGAGGAGGCUCUUUUGGUUAAUACCCAAGAUGAGUGGACGUUACUCGCAGAAUAAGCACCGGCUAACUCUGUGCCAGCCGCCGCCGUAA